UACGUAGGGUGCAAGCGUUGUUCGGAAUUAUUGGGCGUAAAGAGCUCGUAGGCGGUUUGUCGCGUCUGCUGUGAAAACGCGAGGCUCAACCUCGCGCCUGCAGUGGGUACGGGCAGACUAGAGUGCGGUAGGGGAGAUUGGAAUUCCUGGUGUAGCGGUGGAAUGCGCAGAUAUCAGGAGGAACACCGAUGGCGAAGGCAGAUCUCUGGGCCGUAACUGACGCUGGAGGAGCGAAAGCGUGGGAGCGAACAGG
rnacentral:rRNA from 1 species